rnacentral:rRNA from 1 species
AAGCAGGGGAUCGUAAGACCUUGCGCUUUUGGAGCGGCCGAUGUCUGAUUAGCUAGUUGGUGGGGUAAUGGCCUACCAAGGCUUCGAUCAGUAGCUGGUCUGAGAGGACGGCCAGCCACACUGGGACUGAGACACGGCCCAGACUCCUACGGGAGGCAGCAGUGGGGAAUUUUGGACAAUGGGCGCAAGCCUGAUCCAGCCAUGCCGCGUGAGUGAAGAAGGCCUUCGGGUUGUAAAGCUCUUUCAGCCGGGAAGAAAAGGUUGCGAUUAAUAAUCGCAAUUCAUGACGGUACCGAAAGAAGAAGCACCGGCUAACUACGUGCCAGCAGCCGCGGUAAUACGUAGGGUGCGAGCGUUAAUCGGAAUUACUGGGCGUAAAGGGUGCGCAGGCGGCUUUGUAAGUCAGAUGUGAAAUCCCCGGGCUUAACCUGGGAAUUGCGUUUGAAACUACAAAGCUAGAGU